GACGAACGCUGGCGGCGUGCUUAACACAUGCAAGUCGAACGGAAAGGCCCUGCUUUUGUUGGGUGCUCGAGUGGCGAACGGGGGAGUAACACGUGAGUAACCUGCCCUUGACUUUGGGAUAACUUCAGGAAACUGGGGCUAAUACCGGAUAGGAGCUCCUGCUGCAUGGUGGGGGUUGGAAAGUUUCGGCGGUUGGGGAUGGACUCGCGGCUUAUCAGCUGGUUGGUGUGGUAGUGGCUUACCAAGGCUUUGACGGGUAGCCGGCCUGAGAGGGUGACCGGCCACAUUGGGCCUGAGAUACGGCCCAGACUCCUACGGGAGGCAGCAGUGGGAAAUAUUGCACAAUGGGCGGAAGCCUGAUGCAGCAACGCCGCGUGCGGGAUGACGGCCUUCGGGUUGUAAACCGAUUUCGACUGUGACGAAGCGUGAGUGACGGUAAUGGGUAAAGAAGCACCGGCUAACUACGUG
rnacentral:rRNA from 1 species